UACAGAGGGUGCGAGCGUUAAUCGGAAUUACUGGGCGUAAAGCGUGCGUAGACGGUUAUUUAAGUCGGGUGUGAAAGCCCCGGGCUCAACCUGGGAAUUGCAUUCGAGACUGAAUAGCUAGGGUACGGUAGAGGGAAGCGGAAUUUCCGGUGUAGCGGUGAAAUGCGUAGAUAUCGGAAGGAACAUCAGUGGCGAAAGCGGCUUCCUGGACCAGUACCGACGUUCAGGCACGAAAGCGUGGGGAGCAAACCGG
rnacentral:rRNA from 1 species